GCAUAGUAUCACACCGAUUGUGUGUUUUUAAAGGGAUUACAAUUUUAAAAUAUGGAUAAUAUAUAGCAUUGGACUCAGAAAUUUAAAACAUUUCCAAUAAGGUGCAAGUUUCCAAAAACAAAUGAAUAAUUAAACUGUCAUAAAAUGUUAUGAAAGAAGGAAUUAAAAUGAAUCGGAAACCCAACUCUAAAAUGUAAGUAUACAUGUAUUUUAACUAUCAUAAUUAUUUCCAGAUCAAUUAAAGGAGAAUUUGCUCCGGGGGAAAUUUUUUUUAAAAGGUUAAUUGCCACAAACCACAUUUUGAUCCUUUUCUACAGACUCCACUCAACAAAAUAUGUACAACAUUUUUAUUUCAAACGGAAAACGAGAGUUGAUGAAAUGAUGCAGUAACACAAGUAGACAAUGGUUUAUUAGUGGGCGGGGCACCAACAGUACAAUUCAAGAGUCCGGGUAAAAGUGGUGUCACUUUCGGCGUCCGCGUCUCACGCCCGCGCAGAUAAUUUAGCAAAUUAUAAAUAUAUCAAUAAAUAUUAGGAUCAUUUAUUCGGAAACCACUCAUCGAGUCUUUCUUUCUUCAGCCACUCGAAUCAAUUGAUUGUAUCAAUCUACUAGCACACCAAAAUAAUUGGGAGAAUCCGG